rnacentral:rRNA from 1 species
UACGGAGGGGGCUAGCGUUGUUCGGAAUUACUGGGCGUAAAGCGCGCGCAGGCGGCCUUUCAAGUCAGGGGUGAAAGCCCGGAGCUCAACUCCGGAAUUGCCUUUGAAACUGUCAGGCUCGAGUACGGGAGAGGUGAGUGGAAUUCCCAGUGUAGAGGUGAAAUUCGUAGAUAUUGGGAAGAACACCGGUGGCGAAGGCGGCUCACUGGCCCGUAACUGACGCUCAUGCACGACAGCGUGGGGAUCAAACAGG